rnacentral:ncRNA from 2 species
GUGUUCGUUUAAAGGAGAAAUGAUUGGCAUCUCCCCUAGGGACGGAACAGUUGUAUUUUCCUGAUAACACUUCUGGUUAAGGCUACCAACUCUCGGUGGAUCUCUAACGCAAUUUUUUU